ACCUUUGUAUGUUUCUGUGAUGGAUCUCCUCAGAACAGAUGCAUAAAUGGUGCAGCGAUUUAUCUGGGGUCUACUCGAAGGAAGAGCAAGAUCAUUAUAGGUGUAAUGGCCGCAUUUGGUGCAGUGGUAUUGUGUCUAUCUACUAUAAAGCUAAUCCAA